UACGGGGGGGGUAAGCGUUGUUCGGAAUUACUGGGCGUAAAGGGCUCGUAGGCGGCCAACUAAGUCAGACGUGAAAUCCCCUCAGCUUAACUGGGGAACUGCGUCUGAUACUGGAUGGCUUGGAUUCGGGAGAGGAGACUGGAAUUUACGGUGUAGCGGUGAAAUGCGUAGAUAUCGUAAGGAAGACCAGUGGCGAAGGCGGGUCUCUGGACAGUUCCUGACGCUGAGGCACGAAGGCCAGGGGAGCAAACGGG
rnacentral:rRNA from 1 species